UUUAUAGAUGCAUCUUCUGACCUCCACGUUAGAAAGCAAAUUAUGCACUUUCACAGUAAGUAACUAACUUACUGAAGUGUGCACGUUAGAGUGCGCGUCGCACUGGCUUAAUUUAUUUAUUUAUUUUUAAAUAUACGUUAAAUCUGUUCCAGUUUUCCUAAGAAUACAGAAAGAAGGAAGAGGUGGUCUUUUUUAAUGAGGAGAGAAAAAACUGGGAGGCCAAGGAUUGGUGCACCGUGUGCAGUAAGUACUUCAGGACUGACGAUUUUGACAGAAGUGGUCAAACUGUUCGGCUUCGAGAGGGUCGGAGCCUUCCGUUUUUGAUAAUUUGCCCAGUCAUCUGCAAAAGAAAACUAGAAUCAGAAAAAUCAGAGCAUCACAAUUUGCCUCUGCCCCUGGUGUGUGUCAGUCUAAUUCCAGCUCAAAUUGUCAUUCUCACCAUGAUGUUAUUAGUGAGGUGACAGCAGUAGCUCCUCCCCCCUCUGGACCUCGGGGAUAGCAGUAGCUCCUUCCCUGGCACUCAGGCUGGCUAUUGUUCCUUUCCCUCUGGUACUGGGGAUGUCAGCUCCUCCCUCUCGGGCUCUGGGGACUUUUUAAAAUUACACAGGCAAUUGGAGUUUCUGCUAAUACCUAGAUAUUUUUCAUUUGCUGUUAUUUGCAGUGGUUUCUAAAGAUAUGUUUCUUUAUUUUUAAAUACACUACCGGUCAAAAGUUUUAG